GCAAAAUCAAACGCAAAAAGACAGGGCCACUUAAAAGAACACGCACAACCAAGUUGUGCGCCUUGGCCACUUCCCAUGGCCCGGGUGUGACUCUCACCGCAACUUUUAUUUAUUAUUUUGUAUGGAUGAUAAACUUUUGUGAAUCAUUCGAGUUUAUCAUCUCGCAUCACAUUUAUAUAUAUUUUUUUCAUUGGUAUGGCCAAGAAGACAGAG
rnacentral:misc_RNA from 1 species